CUGUCCUAUGUUGCCAGCAAGUAAUGUCGGGGACUCAUAGGAGACUGCCGGUGACAAACCGGAGGAGGGUGGGGAUGACGUCAAGUCAUCAUGCCCCUUAUGUCCUGGGCUACACACGUGCUACAUUGGCCGGUACAAAGGGCUGCAAACCCGUGAGGGGGAGCGAAUCCCAAAAAGCCGGUCCCGGUUCGGAUUGAAGGCUGAAACUCGCCUUCAUGAAGGCGGAGUUGCUAGUAAUCGCGGAUCAGCAAUUCCGCGGUGAAUACGUUCCCGGGCCUU
rnacentral:rRNA from 1 species